AUUGAACGCUGGCGGCAUGCCUUACACAUGCAAGUCGAACGGUAACAGGUCAAGGGAUGUUGACGAGUGGUGGAGGGGGGCGUAAUACAUCGGAAUGUGUCCGAUCCUGGGGGAUAACGAGGCGAAACCUUUGCUAAUACCUCAUACGAUCUACGGAUGAAAGCGGGGGAUCUCCGGAGCGCGCGCGGACGGAGCGGCCGAUGGCAGAUGAGGUAGUUGGUGGGAUAAUAGCUUACCAAGCCGACGAUCUGUAGCUGGUCUGAGAGGAUGAUCAGCCACACUGGGACUGAGACACGGCCCAGACUCCUACGGGAGGCAGCAGUGGGGAAUUUUGGACAAUGGGCGAAAGCCUGAUCCAGCCAUGCCGCGUGCAGGAUGAAGGCCUUCGGGUUGUAAACUGCUUUUGUUCGGGACGAAAAGCCUCUUACUAAAAAAGAGGCGUCAUGACGGUACCGUAAGAAUAAGCACCGGCUAACUACGUG
rnacentral:rRNA from 1 species